AAUAAACUCAUUUUUCGCUUUUCCGUGUCCAACGUUUGACCAUUCGUCUUAUUUGAAAUUUUUUGCGAUUAAUAUUUUUAUUAUUACUAGAUGAUAAAAUAUAAAUAGUAUUUUAUACGUGACUAAUUUUUUUAAGUUUUUGUAUAAUUUUUUUAAAUAAGACGAAUGGUUAAAUAUUAGACAAGAUAAAAGAAACAAGUACUCGUG
rfam:Oryza brachyantha chromosome 4, whole genome shotgun sequence.